GGCGGCGGGGGGAAGAUGGCGGCGCCCGUCCUGCUGAGAGUGUCGGUGCCGCGGUGGGAGCGAGUGGCCCGGUAUGCAGUGUGCGCCGCCGGGAUCCUGCUCUCCAUCUACGCCUACCACGUGGAGCGGGAGAAGGAGCGGGACCCCGAGCACCGGGCCCUGUGCGACCUGGGGCCCUGGGUCAAGUGCUCCGCCGCCCUCGCCUCCAGAUGGGGUCGAGGAUUUGGUCUUCUGGGUUCCAUCUUUGGAAAGGAUGGUGUAUUAAACCAGCCAAACAGUGUCUUUGGACUUAUAUUUUAUAUACUACAGUUAUUGCUUGGCAUGACAGCAAGUGCAGUUGCAGCUUUAAUCCUCAUGACGUCCUCCAUUGUGUCUGUAGUAGGCUCUUUGUACCUGGCCUACAUUCUGUACUUUGUGCUGAAGGAAUUUUGCAUCAUCUGUGUCAUCACAUACGUGCUGAACUUCAUUCUUCUAAUCAUCAACUACAAACGACUAGUUUACUUGAACGAGGCCUGGAAACGGCAACUGCAGCCCAAGCAGGACUGACAACCUGACAAACUCUUAACUGACAGUCUAAGUCCCUUUUCCAUUAAGUUUAUUUUGCAGCAGUUUUUGUUUUUUUUUUUUUAAUUCAAAACAGACACUUACCCUAAGUAUCUUAAACUGAUUUUUAAAAUCCUGUAAAUUAGAAGGGGCCCUAGCUAUUUUCUCUGUCAAUCUUCAUUUUAAAUAUGGACACAAAAAAGAUAAAGAGGAUACACCGAGCCAAUCAAAGACAAGCUUUAACUUUACUUUGAGGAUAUUUCUGAAAUAAUAAAAUGUAGCCCCAGCCCCCUGCCCUCAAUUGUAAAGUGAGCAACCAAUGCUAGUAAUUCUCUAAUGUGUAUAAAUUAAAUUUCAGGUAUAACAAAUGUGAUCAUGACAUGAAAAUAUUUUAGAAUAGAUACUGUAUUAAAUAUUGCCAUGUUUACAAUAUGUAAUAUGUUUUUAGCCAAUGGAUUUAAAUAUGUAGAUUCAACUAGAACCCACUUAUGUGAUAUUUGUAAAUAAAGGUAGAAAUAUUGGAUCCAUCCCUGCAGAACUUAACUGUACAGUGUAGGUGAAGUGUAGCAAUGAAGAAUUGUCAGCUCAACACUGACUGAAGAAAUAGUGAAAAUAGUAAGUCCAUACAGAGCAUCUUGUGCAAAGUACUGACAGCUGUGGGUCCAGCAUUGACGGCAAAAAUAAUGGGGUGGUUGGUUCUCUUUCAUCUCCUUCCUCUGAAAGGAAGAAACUAAAUUUGGACAUUCAAGUCAAGCUUGUGCCUAGUCAUAAAACUGGAUCAAUUAUAACCUUACAGAAUGAGUCCACGUGACCAGACCUUCAAGUCCAAGGCCUUCAGAACACUAAAGAUGGGAAAAUGAGAUUUCUUUGCAGAAAAGUUGGAAAUAUUAAUGGCAUUUUUAAGAAAAGUCUCUUACAAUUUAAAUUUCAUGCAGAUAUUUUUCCAUGAUAUUGGUGCCAGUCAACCAGACAGUAUUAUGACUUUGAAAUAACCAGUGUAAGCCCAUUUGCUCCAGAGUAGGAUUUCUCUUUGGGUAGCUCUGUAGUGUUUUCCAUGUUUCUUUCUGCACUAACUAAUCGAAUGUCUAGUUUGUUUUAGGGUGAAACAUUGACUUUGUAAACUUUAGGGCUAAAAUGCUGCUCAGUUUGCCUAAUUGGGAGUAAUACUAUAGGCAGAACUAUCUGAAGAUGAAAUUCAGCAAAUGUUGUCACUACUCUUUCUAAAAACUACAUAAACGCAGAAUUUUUAAAGGUGAUUUGAAUAAACCCAAAUGAAGUUGUGACAGUAUGUUUCUGUGGUUAACAUCUUAUAUCAGAAUGUUAAAAGUGCCUUCUGUCUUAAAUCUCAAACCAAAUAUUUUGUGUGUUGAACUUGGGCAGAAGUGUCCUUCCUUCCUUUCUUACCACAAGUAGAAAACUUGCAUUCUGCAGAAAGGUUCUAUAUGAUCAUUUUAUUCCUUAGAUUGAGAAGUAGUAGCAAUGUCUUGCUUACAAUUCGAUUAAUCAUUAUGUUAAAAAUAGACCGGUAACUUCUGAGUGUUUUAUUUGCUUUCUUUUUGAAGGGAGGGGACAGGCUCUGCUCUGUAAAUCAUAAUGUGUCCAGUCAGCAACUAUUCAGCAGUUUUCAACUGUCAUAAUUGAUGCAAUGUAUUCUUCUGGCACCCAGGCAGGUUUAAAGUCUGAAUUGUAAUGAACUUUUAACCAGUUUUGUAAAAGAUAGCUUAAUUCAGAUUUCGUCAAGGUUUGUUUUCCCAUGAAUGUGAAUAUUUCAAUGCCUGUUUUAUUUUGUAUGUAUUGUUCUUGUUUCUAUAGUUAAAGUACUUUUGGAAGCUUUGAUUAGAUGUCUGGUGUUUAUGGAGAAACAAUGAAGUCAUCUUGUAGCAUUGCUUCUAGUUCUACCAAGCAGUUUACUGCUUCUCUUUUCUAAGAUAGAGUGGAAAUGGCUUAACGGCUAAGACUUCUGUGGUAUAUGUAAUACACCGGUUGUGCUAAACAAGUUCCUUGUGUCCUAAUUUAGAACGGUUUUUUCAUCUUUUAUAUCAGCCGCAGAGUAUAGUUAAAGCUUGUCUUGAUGUUGCAGUGACUUAAACUUUUACAUGAGAAGAUGUAAAAGACCUUCAAGUUUUUCCUUUGCUUUCCAAGCCUUGCGGAAAACACUAGUUUCAGUUGUAUAAAAAAAUUUUGUCACAUUCCUGUGACCCCAGAAUUCAUAACCUUUUUCUCACUGAGCAGUGAACUUGUGCUGCCUGAAAUAACAGCAUCGUAAUGCCACUAUCUUAGUAAGCGACAGAACCCCAGUGGGUGUUAUUUGGUAUUUUUGCUCUGGAAGAUUUUAAGAUUCCCUCUGCAUCAUCCAUUCCAUCCCAGAAGAGGGAGAAAAAAGAUGUUAUAAAAUUUGAAUAACUUAUUUUAGAUUGAACAUUUAAACAACACAUAACUUGCCACCAAAAUUGAACUGUUUAAGGGAAAAAAUGAAUUUGUUUUUAGUGGUAGUUACAUGCUUCUUGUUUUUGAAAUAAUUUGUAACAAAAUGAAACCUCCUUUACUUGAUAGUCAUAAAUGUCAUUUGAAGAAAUGGGUUGUGGUUAGUUGAUAAAUCCUAGAGAAUCUAGGUGGUUUUAGAAGUUUUAUUUGGUUUUUUUAUUGCAGCUAGUUGUCAGUGAGGUUGGACUUCUGGUGAAAUAACUCAGGUUUAACUAGCUGUGUGCCAGGAAUUACUUUUAUUUGAUGUGUGAAGCCUUUCCUUGUAUCCAUUACUUUUAAAGAAUGUUGAACUCAUUGACUGUUUUCAUACAAACAUACAAAGAUCUGAAACUUGGAACAGAAGAUCUUUGGGCCUACUAAGUAGGACAUAGGACCAAGACUACAGUUAAAACUAUUUAUUGGCUUGUAUUUCAUUGACAUUUAGUUUUAACAUGACCAGCAAAAUAUGCAAGGUUACCUUCAGCAGUUACUUCAUAUCUUAGAUUGGUGCCACUCUGUGAAACCAGUGAACGCUGACAGGAGCUCUUGUCUUGAAAAUCAGUAUUAGAUAAACGCCAACAAGAAACCACUGUCACAUUUGGUGGCUGACUUGGGCAGGAGUACCUAAUGUGCAACCUUUGUCCUCAUCUAUUUUCCCCCAACACACACACAUUGGUGAAACAUUUUUAUUUAGAUAUUUUAGGCAGCACUUACGAUUACUAAUUUCUGAGAACUACCCUUCAAUAAAACAAAAGGGGCAGGGGUGGGAGUCCAGGCUACUUUGUUCAACCUUUUUCACAAAUGAGCCCAGAAAAGGUGAAAUGUUUUGUUAUAAAACUGUGUUAGGCAUGACCUAAGUAUUAGGUGUAUGAUCUGUAUAGUAUGUUCCAUCAAAAAUAUUUAUUAUUAGUGCUUUAAGCUCCAGAGUAAACAUUCAUUCAAAAUGGAGUUCACUGGGCAGAUUUCCCCUUUAAUAUAGAUAGAGAUAUUCUUUAUCAGAGAUUUAGGACACAGUUUUGCUAACUGGUAAAAACAAAUGUAAAUAUGUAAGAAUGUUUAUUUGUUGCACAUAACUUUUUUGGUAUAAAAUAAAUGUAGAAGUUACCUGUGGAAGUUGUGCUGCCAUCAUUCUUAUUCUACAGUUUUACAUUUCAAAAAAGAGGACCUCAUUUCUGCAAGUAUACUGACUUGAUUCCUUUUAUCUUUAGUUUUAUGUAACGUGUGGAAGACACAAGCAGAAUCCAUAGAGAUUCUAGUUCUUAGAACUGGUGUGAGUUUGAGGAUGUCAAGAAUUAAUGAAAAAGGUGUUACUGCUCACAGGAUUGGAAGCACACAGAAUGUAUAUAAAUCAGCUGUUUUUCCCAUACAGUCUUUGAAAAAGAAAAGGUUGGCCUGGUUUGGAUGUGACCACGAUGGCCCUAGAGCUGUAGAGCUACUCCUCUGGGUGCACAUGGUCUGUGAGCAGCAACUCUGCGUGUGAUGUGAGUAUUGAAACACGAUUCGCGAGUCCUUGUGCAGGUAAGACUAUGAAAACAGCCAAUACAAAAAUAAUCACAGAUGCUUUUCAAGAAUACCGAUCAAUCAAUCAAUGGAUGGUCACUUUUAAAUCAACUCUUUAUUUCCAUACUACAAAUGCUAUUAUUUUCACCUCAGUGUUACCGUUCUGCCAGAAGAUUACAAAGUCCAGACCAGAAACUUUCUGGUCUGCCACACACAAUCCAGGAAGCACUUGCUUUGUUUGCUGUGGAAUCACCCCUUACUUGGGAAGGAUGGGGAAGUAGUCUCUAUCCAGUACAGAUGGUUUUUGCUCUAAAAUGUAAACGGGUUAAAAAAAAUUAAAAAUUAAAAAAAUUAAAUGUAAACGGGUUGUUUUCCAAACACCGUGACUUGGCAGCUGACUGGUGGUACCUGGUUUCAUUGGCAAGUUUCCAGUAUCUCUCUCGCAAAAGGAAUGCUGCACUUUUCGGUUGUCUCUGACGAGUGAAGAUUCCCUUUUUAUUCCCCAAUACUCUUGUUGGUGCUAGAAACAAGGCAAAAGUGUUUCAGAUGACUUCUGGUGGGCCAAAAUGGAACCAACCUGGAGCCAAGCUGGGCACUAAAUAGAAAUGUCUUAUACAGUUUAGGCUUACUUGGGUGUAUGAAGUGAGCACUUAAUGGGUUAAAAUACUAUCACUCCCCAGAACACCUCAGCUCCCCAGUGUGUACAUUUUUUGAAUGGUAGAGGGAAAAAAGUCCAAAACUUUUACUUGUAAAAUAAGGUUUAAAACAUAGUGACCCCGGAAAGGCUUCAUCUUUCUGAAGAGACGACCCUCUUGUUGGAAACUAGAGUCCCUCCAGUCAUAGGUGCCCAGUGAGAUCUACUCUACCCUCCUGGUAGAGUCCCAGCAGGGUCCCCACCACUGCUGCCUGGUCUGCCAGACGCUGCAGCCAGGAGUGAGCAAAGCUGGCACGGCUGUGAGGGCUGCUCUCAGAGUACAUUCUCUCUCCCCCUAGAGAAACCAUGGAUGCUGCUCAUGGAAAGCAGAUCUUUUCUACCAAGAAGUUCAAGGCAAUGGUAUGAAGGGGAGACACUGGUGCUCGCUGGUUGCAAUCAGUUUGAUUAGGGAGGUGUUCUGUCCCCUGAACUCACCAGAUCAUCUCUCCAACUUGGCUCAGAUGCCAGCUUUGAUUUCUUCAGUCAGAAGGCACCUAUCCUUCCUGCUACGACAAGGAAAUUGAGGCUGAGAGAGGUGAAGUGACUUGCUCAAGGUAACACCCCCAAAG